rnacentral:rRNA from 1 species
AUUGAACGCUGGCGGCAGGCCUAACACAUGCAAGUCGAACGCGUGGCGGACGGGUGAGUAAUGUCUGGGAAACUGCCCGAUGGAGGGGGGUAAAUACUGGCGACGGUAGAUAAUACAGCAUCCCCUCGGAUGUUCACAGAUGGGAUUAGCUUGUAGGUGGGGUAACGGCUCACCUAGGCGACGAUCCCUAGCUGGGCUGAGAGGAUGACCAGCCACACUGGAACUGAGACACGGUCCAGACUCCUACGGGAGGCAGCAGUGGGGAAUAUUGCACAAUGGGCGCAAGCCGGAUGCAGCCAUGCCGCGUGUAUGAAGAAGGCCUUCGGGUUGUAAAGUACUUUCAGCGGGGAGGCGUUACCCACAGAAGAAGCACCGGCUAACUCCGUGCCAGCAGCCGCGGUAAUAC